CCUCAGUGCCACAUCUACACAGUUCCUGAACACCUCUAGGAAGAGUGACUCCACCACUUCCCUGGGCAGCCUGUGCCCAUGCAUCACCACUCAUUCUGAGAAGAAGCUGUCCCACCGCAGGGAGCAUCUAAUAGCAGAAUGGGUCUUCUCCUGCUGAACAUUUGUUUCUUUCACUUAUAGUGAAAGAAGGGUGCAGCCACAAUAGGAACAAACUGAGAACAGAACUAUGUCAGAGCUGAAGAAAAUAAGAACUGGGGCACAUUGUGUGAAGGCUGGAUGGGCUUGUCUCUAGCAUUUACUGAUGGAAGUAACGCAGGAUCUCCUGUCAGCUCGAAUCAACCUGUUGAGCUUGCAGUUGCUGAUUCAGCAGUGAGACACAGUGCCCGCUCUCCAGGGGAAGAUUUACAGAGCUUAACCUGAGCUUCUGCAGCACUGAUUUUCAAAUUGCUGAUGGCUGAGAAUCCAGGAGCUACUCAAACAAGGAAUAUAAAAGGUACAAAGUAACUCCUUGCUGAAAUGCAACUGUCUCUGUGGUGGAGCACUACUCUUUGACUCCUCCAUAGAAGCAAAACAGAUCUGGGCCACAGAAAAAAAUGCAAAAUCAGGAUUGGAUGGAGAGUGAACUUGAGAGUGAACUCUCUGGAAAGUACAUGAGAGGGAUCAGAGCUCAUUGCACGUGAACUGAGCAGCAAUGAAGGAAUAAAACAACUUACAAGCUACGUCGGUCCUGGAAAACAAAAGCGUUUUACAGAAGAUUUCCUCUUGUUUGAGUUGUGAUAUCCAACCGUGAUGGAUAAUCACUUCUUAUCCUGGUUGUUUUGUUGCUUCUGAGACAUGGAGUUUUUACUUUAAGCCUGGUUAAAGAGUAAAAAGAGGGGAUGCAGCUGUGUCUCAAUUAACCCUUAGCUCAGCAGUAGGGUUUUCUCAGGCUGCUUUGAGAAGAAAAACAUAGUUAAAACAACAAAAUGUUUUAACUUUUGCCUCGAGGGCUGGAAACCUAUUUUUCAGGCAGCUUAACUUCUGUCAUUCUCAGUGUGUCUCUUCAAAUUACAGUGAAAUAAAUAGGAAGUAUUGCCCAAGAGCCCUUGGUUUUGUCAGAAAGGACUCUGAAAAAAGUAGAGGGGAAGAAAAAGAAAGCCUGCAUCAUGAAGACCUGCCACAUCUUUUUGCUGAUGUGAAAUCAAAACUGACUGAGGUUACGAUCAUUCAAUUAUUACAAACCAGUGUAUGAGAAAACCAAUAGUUUGAUGAUGCUGGGUUAAAUGUUCUAGACAAGACAUGAUGUGAACUUCCUCAUGUUUGAAUUCUAAGUUUCAGCAAAGGAAAAAUAAUGCCAAGUGAACCUGGUAAAAAGAUCUCAUCACGUUAUAGGAUGUUAAUGUCGAUUCUAGAAAGUCGAGCAGAGUGAGAGAUGGAAGAGGAAGACACAACUAAAGAAGUGGCACUGGUUUCUCCAUAAGCAUCCCUAACUGGUUCCUUUCAGAUGCUGGUAGCCCUGUAUCUUCACUGCCUCAGGACACAGGGCAGCAAGGUGCCUCACAAGGGCUGUCCAUAAGGUGUCCAGUCCAAGAGUCUGAAAAAUUUUUGGUGCAACUUUGAAGCUCUGUUGACCAGCACGUGUAUUGAGGAUUGCAAGGCUGUGUACGUAGGGUAGCAUCCAAGCCCUGGUCAAUCCACAGUGUCCUUCAGCUGCAGAAACUCUUAUAUCUUAACCAUAACUACAUUAAGCAGCAAGAGCUAUUCUGCCCAAGUAAAAGGCAAAUAUCUUCCUUUCUGGAUGUUUGUCAGUGGCCGCCUCAUAGUCAGGCACCCAUCUGCAGCACAGAAGCAGCUCCUAAUUUAAUAUGGUGGUUAAGGAGAAUAACUUCUGAUUCCAGCUCUUUACAAGUAAAGCAUGACAUGAUUCCCUGCCACCAGUCUGCUUCUAUUUUCACCCUUGUAUUUUAUUUCUUUCCCUCAUUCACAUACUUUCCUAAAUUGUCUUUUGUCCUAAGUAUUUAAAUUACAUGUUGACUCUUUGUAUUCUCUGAGUGGAUAAAUUAAACCAUUAUCAACAGGAGGGGCUUAUCUCCUCCUUUAUUCCACCUGGAUUUUGCUAAUACAUCCAUUACCUUUAUAUCACAGAAAACAAUUAACAGAGGUGUUUGUUGAUAAAAGCAUCAGUUUAUCUCGAUUGGAUGCUUGUAUCUCACAGCCUGCAGCUCACCCUGCACACCUCAGGUCCAGAGUCCUGCAGCAGCUCCAAUAUCCUUUGGGAUGAAUGCGAAAGAUAUUCCCAUAAGAUAUUUCAUUUCAGAGAUUAUUCUUGGUUGGAAAGUGUCUCUCACUUUCACUGUUGAUUUUUCUCUAAAUAUUAAACAACAACAACAAAAGCCUGCAAAGAGCACGGAAGUACGCGGACAAAAGAGAUCUGAUUCAUGGCUUUGUCUAAUUUACACCUCCAGUAUAUUUGGUGAGAAACAAAGUGCAGUUCACAGCUCUCUCUGGCAUGUGAUAUAAUUAUGAUUAACAUUUUUAAGUACAGUAAUAACGUGGAGGAGGAUGAUAAUAAUGGUGGCCACUUAUUCCCACCCAAUAGAAAGUGCAGGGAAAGGAACUGACUGUAGCAGGAUGAACCCCGUGCUAGAUUUAUUCUUCUCUCAGAGGAAAAAUAGGUCAAUAUUCUAUUAUAGUACAAAUAUUAUUAACUUUCUUUCCCUAUAUAUUUUGGUAUUUCAUUGAAAAGCCCAGUGAAAAUCAAAAUCAAUCUUUGGAAAAAUGACUAUCUCAGCUGUAAUUUUAAAAGUUUCCUCAAUCUAUAUUUUCUUUUUUGCUUUUCACCAGGGUUCCUUGCAUGCACGCACUUGGUUUUCUCAACAGAAAGAAAAAGAGAAAACACAAGCUGAGGAGGCAUUCAAGUACUGUGGAGAUGUGGCACUGAGGGACAUGGUGAGUGGGCAUGGUGGGGGUGUGUUGGGAUUGGACUGUGUGAGCUUAGAGGUCUUUCCAACCUUCAUGAUUCUGUGAUUCAAAAUGGAAGAAAUCAAAGCGGAUCCUGGUGCUUGUGGUUGUUUUCACUGCAAAGAAAAUAGCGUCUUUCUCAAAACAAAAUAUGCAUUGUUGUUAUUUAUUGCAAUAUAUAAAUUUACUGCUUUUUGACAAGAGCCACCCUGGAAAUGUGUGUCCUUCCUGGAGUUGUGCUGGGAGUUGUAUAUUCCAUCAUUUCAGUGGGUGUCUCAGCACUUUCUUUGGGACAAGAAAGGAAAACAUCAAAGUGCCAGCAUGAAACGGUAUUUUGCGGGUAGAGCAAAGCUUGUAAUAGGUAGCCUCAUAUAUUCAACCAGAUCUGCUAUAAAUGUCUUCUCAAUUUAUUGUGAUUGCUGUAACACAGAGCGCUCGCUGCUUUAUGCCGCUUCUCUGACAGAAGAGGAGCUGCAGCAGAGGAGAGAAAUUUCUUCCAUCUGCGGCCAAGGUUAAGGCAACCUGUAGGAAAGAAUGAAAACGACGCAGAGAAAUGAGCACCUCAUUUCAGCAAGGUCCAAACUGCUGUCUGCAACAUUUUGGAUGACUCAGCGUGUUUCCUGGUUUUAUUUAUUUCUGUUUUUUGUUACAAGAGGUGUUUCUGUCAAAACUAAAACUUGAGGAGCUGAGCCUA